AACGAACGCUGGCGGCAGGCCUAACACAUGCAAGUCGAGCGAGCAUUUCGGUGCUAGCGGCGGACGGGUGAGUAACGCGUGGGAACGUGCCCUUUUCUGCGGAAUAGUCCUGGGAAACUGGGGGUAAUACCGCAUACGCCCUUUUGGGGAAAGAUUUAUCGGAGAAGGAUCGGCCCGCGUUGGAUUAGGUAGUUGGUGGGGUAAUGGCCCACCAAGCCGACGGUCCAUAGCUGGUUUGAGAGGAUGAUCAGCCACACUGGGACUGAGACACGGCCCAGACUCCUACGGGAGGCAGCAGUGGGGAACCUUAGACAAUGGGGGCAACCCUGAUCUAGCCAUGCCGCGUGAGUGAUGAAGGCCUUAGGGUUGUAAAGCUCUUUCAGCUGGGAAGAUAAUGACGGUACCAGCAGAAGAAGCCCCGGCUAACUCCGUG
rnacentral:rRNA from 1 species